CUCUCUCAAAUCUCGAUCUCUCUCACUCGUUCCUCUCUCGAUCUCUCACUCUCUUCAACUUCUCCUCUCAAUCUCUCAUCUGUUCGGCUGUUCCUCUCUCAUUCUCUCUCACCCGUUUCUCACUCAAUCUCUCUCACUCUCUCUUCAACUCUCUUGUAAUUUCUCUUCUUCAAAUCAAAUCCUUUGCGGCGUGGCUGCCACCACCUUCACAGUGCGCUUGUGUUUGUUUCAUCACUCAUCAGCAUCAGCAUCAGCAUCACUCGUCUCAUCUGUCACUCUAUCGCGGCCAGCAAAAGGGGGUGGAUUUCGCGGCUGUGUUCUGUGGCCUGUGG
rnacentral:lncRNA from 1 species